rnacentral:rRNA from 1 species
UACGUAGGUGGCAAGCGUUGUCCGGAUUUAUUGGGUUUAAAGGGAGCGUAGGUGGGUCUGUAAGUCCGUGGUGAAAUCUCCGAGCUUAACUUGGAAACUGCCAUGGAUACUAUAGGUCUUGAAUAUUGUGGAGGUCAGCGGAAUAUGUCAUGUAGUGGUGAAAUGCUUAGAGAUGACAUAGAACACCAAUUGCGAAGGCAGCUGGCUACGCAUAUAUUGACACUGAGGCUCGAAAGCGUGGGGAUCAAACAGG